rnacentral:rRNA from 1 species
UACGGGGGGGGCAAGCGUUGUUCGGAAUUACUGGGCGUAAAGGGCUCGUAGGCGGCCAACUAAGUCGGGUGUGAAAUCCCACGGCUCAACCGUGGAAGUGCACUCGAAACUGCAGGGCUAGAGUCCUGGAGAGGAAGGUGGAAUGCUUGGUGUAGAGGUGAAAUUCGUAGAUAUCAAGCGGAACACCGGUGGCGAAGGCGGCCUUCUGGACAGUGACUGACGCUGAGACGCGAAAGCGUGGGGAGCAAACAGG